rnacentral:rRNA from 1 species
GCCGCGGUAAUACAGAGGGUGCGAGCGUUAAUCGGAUUUACUGGGCGUAAAGCGUGCGUAGGCGGCUUUUUAAGUCGGAUGUGAAAUCCCCGAGCUUAACUUGGGAAUUGCAUUCGAUACUGGGAAGCUAGAGUAUGGGAGAGGAUGGUAGAAUUCCAGGUGUAGCGGUGAAAUGCGUAGAGAUCUGGAGGAAUACCGAUGGCGAAGGCAGCCAUCUGGCCUAAUACUGACGCUGACGGUACGAAAGCAUGGGGAGCAAACAGGAUUAGAUACCCUGGUAGUCCAUGCCGUAAACGAUGUCUACUAGCCGUUGGGGCCUUUGAGGCUUUAGUGGCGCAUAACGCGAUAAGUAGACCGCCUGGGGAGUACGGUCGC